rnacentral:rRNA from 1 species
UAGGGAAUCUUCCACAAUGGGCGCAAGCCUGAUGGAGCAACACCGCGUGAGUGAGAAGGUUUCGGCUCGUAAAGCUCUGUUGUUAAAGAAGAACACGUAUGAGAGUAACUGUUCAUACGUUGACGGUAUUUAACCAGAAAGUCACGGCUAACUACGUGCCAG